AACAAAUGAGGAUGCUCUCUUUGAGGUGUCUAUUCAACAAAUGAUGCAGCAUUUUGGCAUUACUAGAAGAUAAAGGUUUUUUAUGUACAAGUAUCUAGGUUAAUUCUUACUUGAGAAUACGGGGCUACUUGUUAAGUGUUUUUUCAGUUUUUAGCUUGUCAAAACACUUGGACAUGGUUAGUAGGCUAUCUGAAUAUGCAAAAACUGAAGAAACUAAUUUAUGUUGUGGUCGAUACACUGCGUAUAGCUGCACAAACACACCGGUAUGAAGUCAUUAAGGCACACACGCACACGCACACGCACACACACGAUCGAUGCACGCUGUAUUUUCAUGCACUAUUUUUUCUUGCUACAUGGUUGUUUGUUUUGUUUCUAACGCCCACACACAUACUACUAUGAACUGAUGUAGCUAUCUGUUCACUGAGUUUUCUCCAAGACCAGCAACACAGAAGUUGUCCUACGAUGGGAAAUCAGGAGGAGUAUCAUGUAACUACAACCGCGCAGAGAAAGGGAUGAUGUGCUAUCUGAAAUAGGCAAAUUUUCUGGACACACACAAGGGGAUGGGUUUGGCCAGCAACAAACAAACAAGCCUAGAGGUCGUCCGGGAUCAGGAGGUAGGAAGCAAUUUUAGUUGUGUGUGUCAGAGGUAGGGGGGUGGGGGUCAUAAUGUAUGAUGAUGUCAUAUUAGAUGUGAGGUAUUAUCUUACAUCUAGAUGUGACAUAGUUGGACCCCGAAUUUAUUCAGACAAGAAAAAAAAUCGCAGCCCAUGGCCUAUGGAGCACGAAUUUCACCGACUUUCUGUUAGGAAAUAGGUGCUUUUCGGUUAGUCUUAAUUCAGAUUAGCAUCAUCACAAGAUUACUGACAUAGAAAACCUCAUAUGGAAAAUUAGGAACAUCUAGCAUGUAAACGUAUGGACUAAAAAUACAUGUCAACAAAGAGAUAUUCAAAACAUACACGUUCAUCAGAAACUCCUGGUAGACAUUGUGGAUGUAGUCAAACUUGAACGAGUAAUCUUGCCAAGACGCUUCCCAAAAACCUUACACCUCUCAUCCGGUUCAGGUUCUCAAGGGACGCGGUUUCAAAGGCCAGCUCUCUUGGAGAACUAUACGCACGCAACCACUCGGACUAGGAACUCCACUAGAGUGUGUAUGUUUUGUGUACUGCUAUGUGUUCUGCAUGUAACCUUUCUCCUCUGCAUCUCCUUUACAUAAAGCAGACGCGUGAAAGAGUGAAGACAUGUAAUUGGCACAUGAUGGAAGUAUUCUUUAGGGGCGGGUUUGGUUCCCUGCAUUAGGCCCAGCCUAGCCCGUGCGGGAAGAAAAUGGUCCGUUUGGUUGCCUGCGUUUACUGUGCGGCCUGCAUGGCACGAACCUUAAAGCAACUCCAGGCCAGACCCAGGGGGAACACCCGAAUCGGCAGUAGCUCGCGAGCCUCGCUCAAGUGACGCAGGGGAGGGCGACACGCUUCUCUCCUCAUGCGACCAGGGAGAUGGCGUGAGCUCGCUCGCGUCGCCGAAAAAUCGGCGGGAGGAUUUCGGCUCACCUUCCGCCGAGUCCGCCCCUAUUUAGCCCCCUCCCUCACCGCCCCAACUCCCGCCACCAUUGUCCCCCCUUUCGAGCUUUCCCACCGACGCGCAUCGGCACCGACGAGCAGGUAAGCGGCGCAUCUUCAUCGGCCGACGGUCCACGGCGUUGGCGGUCCUUCACCGACCGGCGGUGAUCUUCUACGACUGUUCCCCCUCGUCUUCGAUCUGCAUCCAUGGCAUCUCUGAGUUCAAUCCCCCUUUCUCUCUGUUCCUUCUAGCUAGAUCUGAGCUCCAGCUAGGGUUUGAUGUACAUGCAUGGUUGAUUAGUGCUCUGAUCUGUGAGCUCAUAUCGUUGAUUGCUAUGCUCCGGUUGCAAUUUGUGGCGGGGUUAGAUGUUCAAGCAUAUGGUAGGCUAGAUUAGUAGUAGAGUUUGAAGUUGAACCUUGUGCUUGUGUUUAUUCGUGCUUAGAUUUGUGAUUUGUAGCUAUUGGUGGUUCAUUUGUAGCAUGCUCUUUGUUGUAGAUGUAUGUUCCUUCUUAUAAUUGUGCGGUAUGCUUAGUAUGUACUUGUAUGCUCCUGCUUUCAUGGAUUGUCCGGCAUGUUUUGUGCUAUGCUUACUGUCAAUGUGUGCUACGAUUGUAGGACAUGACCACACAGACGCAAGAUUUAGUCAGGCCCUUGUUCUGUCGGACAGCCAGUUCCCUCCAUCGUUUGUCGAGGACUCGCAACCUAUGUCCGAGAUGGCACCUGAUUCAGAGGUGUUCGCGUCUAAUUCUGUCUAUGUACCAGUAGUGCUCAUUCAACAAACUCAUCCUGCUGCUAUUACUGCAACAGCAAAGGCAACGAAGGAUGGUAGGUCAAACAACAUGAAGUGGCAGCCAUUCAUGUCCACGUUCGUGUUGAACAAGAUGUGUGAGCUCAUCUCUAGUGGAGUUAGGACUGACAAGGGCUUCAAGGAGGUGCACUUGAACAUCGUUGCGAAGCAAGUGUUCGAGUUCUGUGGGCAGGACGUGUCCGCCACCCAGAUGUACAACCACCUGAGGAAGUGGAGAAGUCGAUGGAUCCAAGUGUCCAAGCUGGGAGACCUUAGCGGCGCCUCAUGGGAUGAGAACACUUGCUCCAUAGUUCUAGAGGCAAAGCGCUACGCCGGCCAUGUCGCGGUUAGCUCACAACCCUCUUCCUUUUCAUAAUCUCCACCAUUGCCUACUCCUAAUCGCAACUAACAACACUUGUGUUUCAUUCUUAGGACCACCCAAGGGACGCUGAGUUCCUCAACACACCCAUACAAAACUACAGCCAGAUGCAGCACAUCUUCUCCUUCGGGCUCGCAACAGGGAAGCAUGCCAUGGGCUUGGGGGAGCCUCUUGGUUCUCCCAUGCCAGACUUCCCUGCGACCCCGGGUGUCGAGGUCAUUGAUGGCCCUGACAAGCACUUCGAGAAGCCCUUCGACAAGCCCUUCGACAAGCUCUUCGAGAAGCCCUUCGAAAAUCCCUUUGACCCCGUCCAUGAUAGGAAGAGGAAGAGAGGAGGCCUGAUGGAGGAGGAGAUCAAUGUCUUUUGCAGUAUGACUAAGGCGGUGAAGGAGGUGGCAACAACCAUCACGGAGUGCAAGCCCCUCGACGUCCACCCUGGCCCGUAUGGCGUUGUCAUGACCCAGGGUGGCUUCAGCGACGAGGCUCUCAUGGCAGCUCUCAGCCACCUGCUUGACAACAAGGCCCAGGGUGUUAGGUUCGUUGCCAUGACAGACGCUCACAGGGUGAUGUGGCUGAGGAGCUGGCUGGGCAAGCACUAGUACUAGAGUAGUGCUGCCUGUGAGCGUGCAUGAUCCCCGACGGCGAUGGCGAUGACGGUGGCGACGACGAUGACGACGUACAUUUUGUGUGGCUAGGGCUGGAAAACUAUUUGAUGGUUUGUAUAUUUUGAUGAGGUGGUAUAUACUAACCCCUCACGAUGAUGGUGAACUUGCGAUGGUAGGACGACACCCUCUUUUAGAUGUGGUGGUAGGAUAACAUGAUGGUAGUGCUAUGUAGAACUUGCUAUGCCGUAUGAUUAUGCAUGCUUUACUUUUUCUCUUCUACUUGUGUGCUUCGUUGAUUUGCUGCUUCAACUCUUGAUCUUGUGCAUUGCUAGGGCAAGUGGUAUACCGUGUUCAUCGGUAAGGCUCCAGGGGUUUACAGUUCAUGG
rnacentral:lncRNA from 1 species